rnacentral:rRNA from 1 species
AGGGAAUCUUCCGCAAUGGACGAAAGUCUGACGGAGCAACGCCGCGUGAGUGAUGAAGGUUUUCGGAUCGUAAAGCUCUGUUGCCAGGGAAGAACGUCCGUUAGAGUAACUGCUAACGGAGUGACGGUACCUGAGAAGAAAGCCCCGGCUAACUACGUGCCAGCAGCCGCGGUAAUACGUAGGGGGCGAGCGUUGUCCGGAAUUAUUGGGCGUAAAGCGCGCGCAGGCGGCUGUUUAAGUCUGGUGUAUAAUCCUGGGGCUCAACUCCGGGUCGCACUGGAAACUGGACGGCUUGAGUGCAGAAGAGGAGAGUGGAAUUCCACGUGUAGCGGUGAAAUGCGUAGAGAUGUGGAGGAACACCAGUGGCGAAGGCGGCUCUCUGGUCUGUAACUGACGCUGAGGCGCGAAAGCGUGGGGAGCAAAC